AGAGUUUGAUCCUGGCUCAGGAUGAACGCUGGCGGUGUGCCUUAAGCAUGCAAGUAGAACGGCCCACGUCGCUCCGUAAGGAGCUAUGCGGGCAGUUGCAGACGGGUGAGUACAGCAUAGGAAUCUACCCUUUGGCGGGGAAUAACUUGUCGAAAGACGGGCUAAUACCGCAUAAGAUCGCAAGAUGAAAGGCCUUAACGGGUCACCGAAGGAGGAGCCUAUGUCCUAUCAGUUAGUUGGCGGGGUAAUGGCCCACCAAGACGACGACGGGUAGCUGGACUGAGAGGUUGGUCAGCCACAAUAGUACUGAGAUACGGACUAUACGACUACGGUCGGCAGCAACUGGGAAUAUUGCGCAAUGGGCGAAAGCCUGACGCAGCGACACCGCGUGAAGGAUGAAGGUCUUAGGAUCGUAAACUUCUUUUGAUUCGUCACAUGACGAGUAGAAUAAGCACCUGCUAACCACGUGCCAGCAGCCGCGGUAAUACGUGGGGUGCAAGCGUUAUCCGGAUUUACUGGGCGUAAAGAGUUCGUAGGUUUUUGGGUACAUCCUGUUUCAAAUCCCGGGGCUUAACCCCGGAAAGGGAUAGGAUAUGGCCUGAAUUGAGUUUGCUAGGGGGUACUGGAACUUGUUGUGUAGCAGUGAAAUGCGUUGAUAUAACAAGGAACACCGAGAGCGAAGGCAGGUACCUGGGGCACAACUGACACUGAGGAACGAAAGCUAGGGGAGCGAAAGGGAUUAGAGACCCCUGUAGUCCUAGCCGUAAACUAUGUUCGCUUGAUUUUCCGAGUCUUGUACUUGGGGGGUCGGAGCUAACGCGUGAAGCGAACCGCCUGGGGAGUACGACCGCAAGGUUAAAACUCAAAGGAAUUGACGGGAAGGCGCACAACCAGGGGAGCAUGUGGUUCAAUUCGAUACAAAGCGAUAGACCUUACCCAGAUUUGACAUGACACCGUUUAUUUUCCUGGAAACAGGGAGAAAUCCGACGAAAGAAGGAUGGUGUCACAGCUGCUGCAUGGCUGUCGUCAGCUCGUGCCGUGGGGUGUCGGCUUAAGUGCCGAAACGAGCGCAACCCUUAUUCUGUGUUAAAUAUCCACAGGAGACUGCCUCGACGUUUGUCGGGGAGGAAGGAGGGGAUGACGUCAAGUCAGCAUGGCGCUUAUGUCUGGGGCCACACACAUCCUACAAUGGAUCGUAACAACGGGUUGCCAAGCCGUAAGGCGGAGCUAAUCCCAACAAAACGAUCCUCAGUUCAGAUUGGGGGCUGAAAUUCGCCCCCAUGAAGCCGGACUUGGUAGUAAUCGCAGAUCAGCAGACUGCGGUGAAUACGUUCUCGCCUUUUGUACACACCGCCCAUCAAGCCAGCAAAGUCGGCAAUACCUGAAAUUCUGGGUUUCCCGGGACAAGGGUAGGGUCGGCGAUGAGGGCUAAGUUGUAACAAGGUA
rnacentral:rRNA from 1 species